rnacentral:rRNA from 1 species
UACAUGUGGGGCAAGCGUUGUUCGGAAUUACUGGGCAUAAAGGGUGCGUAGGUGGCUUGUUAAGUCGGGUGUGAAAGCCCCGGGCUCAACCUGGGAAUUGCAUUCGAGACUGUGUAGCUAGGGUACGGAAGAGGGAAGCGGAAUUUCAGGUGUAGCGGUGAAAUGCGUAGAUAUCUGAAGGAACACCAGUGGCGAAAGCGGCUUCCUGGUCCAGUACCGACGUUCAGGCACGAAAGCGUGGGGAGCAAACAGG